rnacentral:rRNA from 1 species
CCUACGGGUGGCAGCAGUGAGGAAUAUUGGUCAAUGGGCGGAAGCCUGAACCAGCCAAGUCGCGUGAGGGAAUAAGGCCCUACGGGUCGUAAACCUCUUUUGCCGGGGAGCAAGGGCGGGGACGUGUCCCGGCCAGGCGAGUACCCGGAGAAAAAGCAUCGGCUAAAUCCGUGCCAGCAGCCGCGGUAAUACGGAGGAUGCGAGCGUUAUCCGGAUGUAUUGGGUUUAAAGGGUGCGUAGGCGGGCUUUUAAGUCAGAGGGAAAAAUUCGGGGCUCAACCCCGUACGGCCGUUGAAACUGGGGGCCUUGAGUGGGCGAGAAGAAGGCGGAAUGCGUGGUGUAGCGGUGACAUGCAUAGAUAUCACGCAGAACCCCGAUUGCGAAGGCAGCCUUCCGGCGCCCUACUGACGCUGAGGCACGAAAGUGCGGGGAUCGAACAGGAUUAGAUACCCUGGUAGUC